UAUGGAGGGUGCAAGCGUUAUCCGGAUUCACUGGGUUUAAAGGGUGCGUAGGUGGGUUUGUAAGUCAGUGGUGAAAUCUCCAAGCUUAACUUGGAAACUGCCGUUGAUACUAUAAAUCUUGAAUGUUGUGGAGGUGAGCGGAAUAUGUCAUGUAGCGGUGAAAUGCUUAGAUAUGACAUAGAACACCAAUUGCGAAGGCAGCUCACUACACAAAGAUUGACACUGAGGCACGAAAGCGUGGGGAUCAAACAGG
rnacentral:rRNA from 1 species